rnacentral:other from 1 species
UCCUUACUGAAACACUCGCCAGUUAGGGAUAUGCCUGAGCCGAUAAUCACACACAAAGGGCAAUGACUGUUUGCUGUGGUGUGUAUGCCCGCAUUUUAAUGUAUCGGGAAACCUAAAACAGUAAAGAUUUGCCCACCUUGAACUUUAUGGUUCAUGGACACAACUUGACAGCGGUGUUUCGGUUCUUUA